rnacentral:rRNA from 1 species
GUGAGGAAUAUUGGUCAAUGGACGGAAGUCUGAACCAGCCAUGCCGCGUGCAGGAAUAAGGUCCUAUGGAUUGUAAACUGCUUUUAUUCGGGAAUAAACCUCUUUCCGUGUAGGGAGCUGAAGGUACCGAAGGAAUAAGCACCGGCUAACUCCGUGCCAGCAGCCGCGGUAAUACGGAGGGUGCAAGCGUUAUCCGGAAUCAUUGGGUUUAAAGGGUCCGCAGGCGGGCUAUCAAGUCAGAGGUGAAAUCCCACAGCUUAACUGUGGAACUGCCUUUUAAACUGAUGGUCUUGAAUUAAGUGGGCGUUGGCGGAAUAUGACAUGUAGCGGUGAAAUGCAUAGAUAUGUCAUGGAACACCGAAAGCGAAGGCAGCUAACGAUACUUAUAUUGACGCUCAUGGACGAAAGCGUGGGUAGCGAACAGGAUUAGAUACCCGGGUAGUCC